UACGUAGGGCGCAAGCGUUGUCCGGAAUUAUUGGGCGUAAAGAGCUCGUAGGCGGCUUGUCACGUCGGAUGUCGGAAAGCCCCAGGGCUUAACCCCGGGUCUGCAUUCGAUACGGGCUAGCUAGAGUGUGGUAGGGGAGAUCGGAAUUCCUGGUGUAGCGGUGAAAUGCGCAGAUAUCAGGAGGAACACCGGUGGCGAAGGCGGAUCUCUGGGCCAUUACUGACGCUGAGGAGCGAAAGCGUGGGGAGCGAACAGG
rnacentral:rRNA from 1 species